GAAAGAUGCAGAUCCCUCUUUUAGACGAGCAGUGUUGACAACUCUCUUUGCUGUGGCAAAGUACUAUGAAGACAGCACUGAUCUCAGCAAGAGGUGCAACAUGCAGAGAAAUUCACAAUUCAGGGCAAUCACAUAUACCUACGGGGGAAGGAUGGCCAGCAACACAGGAGGGUGAUUUUUACUAAAGAGGAGAAGGAGGCCACUCUGACCGUGCUGACCGAGAUGCAUGGUGGCCAUUUCAGAGUGAAGCGCAUGAUUGCCAAAAUCAAUCAACCUACGCUU